UGUGCGUCAACUGUUCUGGGCAAUCAGCUACGUCUUGUUGACAUUGUUAGUAGGCUUUCUGACUUGGCUGCUCAGCUGUGCUCUGAAAUAACUCCAUCAGACUCACAGCAAGUCAGGAACAAAAUGGAAAGUUUAGAAGAGAGAAAGCUGGAAAUUAAUUUCCGGAGCUGUGUGGUUAUUUCUAAGUCUGACCAGCAUGCAAAAAUUCUUGAGACAGUUCAGCUGUUUGUGAAGUGCCUGGUUUUAGUGCUACAGCCUGGCUGAUUAAGGAAAACCUGGAUGCAUUUGGGCUCUUCAAUCCUUCAAGCUCUACACUGAGGAAGUUUGGCUGCUCCUCUACAGGCGGAAAAGCUGCCCUUGCCACAAAUAUGGGAACUGUCGAGAGGGGACCAAAAUAGCUCUGAAGCUCACAGUGACUCUCACUUAUGUGCUAGACAAGACCUACAGAGCUCAUAAGGCAUCAUUCUGCUACGGGUAACAGGGUCCUUUGUCAUCUUGAUUUCAUCUAAACACAAGCCAAAAAUAGACAUGCUCGGGGAAAAAAAAAAAAAACCAAACCAAAAAAACCCAAAAAUAAAAUCCAGAUCAUGAAUGUCAGGAACGUCGCAAAAUACAAGCCAGCCUCUCACUGAUCAAAACCAUCCUGUGUGCCCUGCAAGCCUCCUCCCAGCCAGUUCAGCCUCCGAGAGCUGUUCUCCAGCCAUGAAUAUUCAGCUGUCACCGAGCAAGGCCCAGGCAGAGCCCCGGCGGAGGCGCUGGCCUCCCGGGGGUGGCGCGGCUGCCAGCGGCGGGGCGGAUCAGAGGGUCUCGCCGUACACGACGCACGGGUUGGUUUCCUCGCAGAGUUCCAGCUGCACGCUGGAAGCGAACCAGCGCUUGGCACAACCCAAGCUGUAGUUGAGGGUGGUCCGGUAAAUGUUCUUGGCACGCUUAGGGAAAAUGAUGGUCGUGCUCUGAAACCUCACCGGCUUCUGGCGGGGCUCGAAGAUCAGCUGGGACUUGUAGUUCCGCCAGGUGCAGUUGGGAGCAGCGAUGAUGGUCUCGCUGUAGGUGGUGACGGUGGGGAUGGGGCCGUAGAAGAUGUCAUCCCGAUAGUGCUUCUCCGAGUCGUACUUCACCUCGGAAUUGCACCUGCAGAGGACAACAAGGUAUCAGGAGCACAGCUCAGGCAGCAAAGGAGGCGAGACAGGCAAGAAUCUUCUCUAGCCCUUUGAAGCUGGCAGCGUUUACCAAGCUCUUACUGCACAGACGCUGGGGCAGAUGCCAACUCUACAACCCAAAGCCAAGAGGACUCUGUCCUGCUGGGGAAUCGUGCUGGAACCCCACCUUGCUGUGAAUCCAUCCCAGCAUUUUUGCAAUGUAGUCACACCAGGGCAGAACACUCCUGGCUGCACAGGCUCCAAGCAAUGUUCUUCUUCCUCUGGUUUUCUCCAUGGGUCCCACUGGGGCCUCAGCUCAGCCCUGAGAGCUACACUGCAGGCAGACAAACACCCUGUAAUGGACCUGUCAAGAUGUCAAGGUUGUCUUUUUUCCUUAUGCCACCUUGCCAACAUUGCACAAAAAUGCCCAAACCAGCUAAAAUCUGAGUUGUGGGAGAUGAAGGGUGAGGUUGCUUGUUGGAGCCUACAAAAAAUCCAAACAAUGCUGAAGGAGCAGGUAAAGCAAAGGGAUAUUGUGGGCUACGGCUGCCCAACGCACAAGCCACUGGUCUCAAAGGAAUUGGCCACCUGAACUACCAACAGAUGAAGAACCACAAAAGGUAGGAUGUCACAGCUCUGCCUUUUUUUCUGCAGUCAUCCAGGAGGGAUGUGCGGACACCAGGCCAAAAAAAAGGGCUUCUUCUGGAAUCCCUAGCCAUGAGGAACAGCAGGACUUCCACUGGUUUUCCCCGCUCCCCAAACGCUCCUCCAGCAAUCAGCAGCCAAGGAAUGUGCAGCUCCACGUAAAAAAGAUUAAAAGCUGGGUGUGUGCUUGUCAUUACCUCCACCCAGAGGGGGGCUGACUGAUUGUGCACCGCGUGUAAUCUGAGCUGCUGUAAUGUAUUUUGCACAGCUAGGGUGUAAGCAAGUCAUUCAGCACACAUAAAACAAGACUCCGAUGUAAUCACCACAAAAACAUGCCCGCUGGCAGUUCCCCGGCCAGCAGAGAUUUACUGGGGUACCUUUCCAGAGAGACUUUUGCAUAGGUUGAAGGGGUUUACAGUCCUCCCACUGCCCCUGCCCCAAGCUGUGUGUAAGUGCUCCCUGCUGUUUGCAGGGUACAUUCAACAUCAGCAAGAGAGCAAAGGAAGAGCAAAGACCAACAUCUAUCCAUCGGCCACAGCCCCACAGGAGGGCAGAGCAUCUCCAUCAGUGGCUUGAGGGACCAUCUCCUCACAUGGAGGAGCUCAUUCAGUGUCUGUGGGCUGUCUAAUGUUGGUUUCUCUGUGGCAAGAGCGAACAGAAACAGGUGCCAAUUAGAAGGGUGUUGCUUCUGAAGAUACAAGUCAUCUGGGAACAGUAUGAAGACCAUCAGAUUAUUUGGUGGAGGCCAUCAAGCCCACAGAUGGUAAUGGUUUUCUCUCAUAGCCUUGGAUUUUAGCUGGCCUUACAAGGAAAGCUGCCUUCUUUUAAAACCUCCCUCCAGUUCCUGCCUCUUCCCCUCUGCCUGUGCUGCUGUCAAUGGCUUUAAUUCAGGAAUUAUCCUCCCACCUGUCCUUCCCUUUCCAUCAAAAUAACCAUGACUCCCAUUUGUAAACACAUUUUAAUUUUUGGCAGAAGCACCAGAAAAAAGACAGAAAUCCCCAUCUACCCACCCAAUCCCAUCUGUACCUGAUUUCCUGCACGGGCUCAGGGUUGACCUCAAUGCUUUCUCCAAAAAACACCGGGUACAUUCGAGGCCUUAUCUCUGGCGUGGACGGGUUCAGGAGGAGAUAAGGCAUCUGCAGGGAAGGAGAGCACAGCAAGUGUUGGGACACAACCGAUGGGGCUGGCGCAGUUCAUAACGUGCUAUGACUGGCAGCUGAGCAGCCUAACACAACACCUGGACUGUCCUCACCUACCAACACCUGCCUCUGCCCCAGCACACCU